CCCCCCUCCCCUUAGCCCUUAUUCCCAUCUCGCACUCCAGUUAAAAAAUCCCAUUAGCCCUUAUUCCGAUCUCGCAUAUACCUAAAAAAUCCCUAAUUUCUUGCAGCUCACCACCUCGUUUCCACUCGUUUGUUGCUUCCUUUGUCGCCGGCGUUCUUCCACCACACACCCUCUUGGUCGUCGUCAUCUUCUUGGAAAACGAUUGCAAAAGGGCUAAAUACCACAUCUGAAAUGCAUAAUCAAAACAACGAUAACCCAAUUUGUCACUGUUUUACAGUCUAAUUUCAGACAGUCGAAUACUGACAGAUUGGCAAUAUUAGUCUUUCGGUUGCUGAAGGGUUGUCUAGCAGCUUCAAUCGCUCACUCCCCAACAAAAAUAAGUUUCCAGCUACUUAAGGAUACUUCAUAUUUGUCUCUCUUUCUCUCUCUCAACCCACAAACAUCAAGAACUACGAAAUGGACCGGUCUUGGAUGAAUUUGUCAAGGGUAAGCAACGACUAUUGAAAUGGAGUACAAACUUUUCUAAAUUUUGCAUUUCAAAAUGCAAGUCAAGAGAAUAUGAUUCUUUGCCCGUGUAAGAAGUGUGGCACCAUCAAUUGGAAUUUUCGUGAAGUUGUCUACGAACAUCUAAUUAUUGAUGGGUUUAUUCAGGGGUAUAAAAAAUGGAUUUUCCAUGGAGAGUGCACACCUAGUAGAACCUCUUCAAUGAUUAAUCUGGCUUAUCCUCAUAGUGCUUACCAUCAGUCUGUUAGAGAAGAUGACAUGGAAGGUAUGUUGCGGGAUGCGUUUAAUAUGUGCAAUCAUGGUUUGCAAUCGUUUCCACCCGACUUUGUUGCAUCUGAUGAUUGUAAUCUUGGUGGAAAUGCUUUUACCGAAAUGGGAAGAAGAGUACCUGAUGAAGAGCCGAAUGGAGAAGCAAAGAAGUUCUACACGUUACUUAAUGAAAUGAAUGAAGAACUUUAUGAGGGAUCAAAAUUUUCAAAAACGUCCUUUUGUAUUCGUCUUUUUCAGUUAAAAUGUUUGGGUGGGUGGACCGGAAACUCUUUGACAAUGCUGUUAGAGUUUUUAAGAGAUAUGUGUCCAUUUGAAAAAAUCUCUCAUUCAUGCAAAUAUAUGAAGAAACUGAUAAAAGAUUUAGGCCUUGGGUACAACAAAAUUCAUGGUUGCCCAAAUGACUGAAUGUUGUAUUGGGGUGAUCGAAAAAACCAACAGUCUUGGUAUGUAUGCGGUAAAUCUCGUUGGAUGAAUAAAAAUACAGAAGAUGUGAAUUAGGAUGAAAAUGAUGCACAGUCAAGGAAGAAGCUAAUUAAGAUUUUGCGAUAUUUUUCCCUAAUAACAAGGCUUCAAAGGCUUUUCAUGUCGUCGAAGACAGUGGAGUCUAUGACGUGGCACUAUGAUGGACGAGCCGAUGAUGGAUUAUUAAGGCAUCUUGCGGAUUCUUUAGCUCAGAAAUCAUUUGACAGGAAAUUUCCAAGCUUUGCAAGCGAUCCUCGGAGUGUGAGGCUUGGGCUAGCAUCUACUGGAUUUAAUCCUUAUAAAAUCAUGAACACUUCAUAUAGUACUUGGCCGGUAGUGCUUGUUUCUUACAAUUUGCCUCUAUGGAUUUGCAUGAAGCAAUCUUCCUUUAUCUUAUCUAUGAUUAUCCCUGGAGAAAAAGGUCCUGGAAUUGAUAUUGACAUCUAUUUGCAGCCACUUAUUGAAGAGUUAAAACAGUUAUGGGCGGGUGUUGAGACAUAUGAUGUAUUGAGAAAGGAGAACUUUAAUUUACGUGCAGCUUUGUUGUGGACUAUUAAUGACUUCCCAUCUUAUGCCAAUUUAUCUGAUUGGAGUACCAAGGGACAUUAUGCUUGUCCUUGUUGUGUUGCGCAAACAUGUUUGAAAUGGUUAUAUAAUGGGAAUAAGUUCUCUUAUAUGGGGCAUCGUCGGUGGUUAUCAGGAAAUCAUAGAUUUAGAUUUCAGAGUACUCUAUUUGACGAUACUAAAGAGUUCAAAGAAGCUCCUUCGCAAACCAUUACAUCUGAAAUCUUGUUCAUGUUGAAGGAUAUGAAUUUCAGUUAUGGGAAGAUGAGUCAACCGCCCAACACGCAAAAAAAGAGAAGAUCGAGGGAUGAAUCUAAUGAUAACUCUGAUAAAGAGGAUGAUCCUAAUGAGGCGGACUUGUGGAAAAAAAGAAGCAUUUUUUUUAGUUGCCUUAUUGGGAGCAUCACAUUUUACGACACAAUCUUGAUGUCGAUGGAAAAUCGUAAAACAAUCUUCACAGUCGACUUGAUUUAGUUCACAUGAAAAUUCGGCGUGAUCAUUAUCCCUAAGUACUUCUAAAUGAGAAAUAUUGGUUGCUGCCUUCUAUUUUUUCAAUGUCGAGGAAAGAGAAAGAAGUGUUCUGCAUGGUGUUGAAGGAUAUAAAGGUUUCAGAUACGUAUGCAUCAAAUAUAUCUCGAUGUGUGAAUCUUAAAGAUCGAAGACUAUAUUCCUUAAAAUCUCAUGAUUAUCACACCUUGAUGCAAGAUUUACUGCCAGUUGCUUUACAGUGUUCUAUGUCAAAAAAGGUGACGUCUUGUAUAAUUGAAUUAUCCAAUAUAAUGAAAGUCAUUUGUGGAAAAGUUUUGAAUGUUGAAGAACUUGAAAGAGUACAAGAUCGAGCCGCUUUGACUUUAUGCAAUUUGGAGAAGAUCUUCCCACCUUCCUUCUUCACUAUUAUGGUGCACUUGCUAAUCCAUCUCCCUCAUGAAGCAGUACUUGGUGAACCCGUUUUCCAUCGAUGGAUGUAUCCUAUAGAAAAGUGCUAAUUUAUUUGUAAAUUAUUCAUUCACUCACCUCUAUGCCUUUAGUUACAACUUUUGAUAAUGUUGUAUAUCGUGUUUAGGUUCCUAUCCAAAUUGAAGUCUUAUUGCCGUAAUAAGCGUUAUCCAAAAGGAUCAAUUGCUGAAGGUUACUUGGCAGAAGAGUGUUUGACUUUCUGUUCUAGAUAUUUAGAAGAUGUUGAAACAAGACUGAACAGACCAAGUAGAAAUGCUGGGCUCACUGAUCAUAACUUGGCCGAAACUUAUUUAUUUCAAAGUUAUAGAGAACCAAUCGGCAAAGUUAAAAUUGGAGAAUUAGAUGAUAGAUCGUGGGUACAAGCACAUCGAUAUGUUCUUUUUUACCACGAUUCAAUGGAACCAUUAAGCAAGUAAGUUCUAGAAUUUGAUAAAUAUUCAUCUUUUUAAUUUGUUUAUCUUUUAACAAAGUAAACCUCUUUUUAACAUAGUGAGUACAAACAAAUAUUGAGAACUCGUUCACGCUCCCGAAGAUUACAACAUCGAGAGAUUAAUAAGUUAUUCAUAGAAUCUUUUCAUGAAUGGUUAAGCCAAACGGUAUGCAAUUGAAGCUUUCACUGACAAAUAAUAAUGUUUUCUCAUAACAUUUAUAAUUACUCAAUUUACUUUUGAUUCAAUAGGUUUGGAGUCGAAAGGGCGUCAAUGACAAAGUUAAACGGCUUUCCCAAGGUCCGAAUAGAGUAGUAAAAAGAUAUAGUGCCUUCGUCAUCAAUGGAUUCAGAUUUCAUACGAAAUAUCGCGAGAGAUUGAGGAGAACUCAAAAUUGUGGAAUAGUUUUUAAUUCUUCAAUUACAAGUUAUGCUAGUGCUAGGGAAAGUAAUCCUGUUGAGGGAAAUGUGGAGUAUUACGGACUUCCUACUGACAAUAUUGAGUUGGAUUACUAUGGCAAAUGGAAAGUUGUCUUAUUUCGAUGUGAUUGGGCUAAUGUUAAUACUGCUCGUGGAAUUAAACAAGAUUAAUUUGAUUUUACAACGAUGAACUUCUUUCGAUUGAUUCACACUGGACAACAAUUGAUAGAAGAGCCGUAUGUAUUUUCUUCUCAAGUGAAACAAGUUUUUUACUCGAAAGAUCCAACUGAUGAGGGUUGGUACGUUGUACUCAGUAAUAUCCCUAGAGACUUGUUUGACAUGGGCAAUUCAAGUAGAGAUGACAUCGACGAAAGAUCAGAAACUUUGCCUUUCUAGAACAAAACUUAAAUGAAAAUAUCUCUAGUACUAGUACACAAUUUCAAUGGGUUCGCCAGGAUGUUGAUGAAGAUAUUUCCGAAUUAUGACGAAAUAAAAUGCCUAGAAGAAGAUUGCGAGAUCUAGGUAUUGUUCAAAUUACUCCAAAUCCGGAAGAAACAAUAGUGAGCAACAAACUACUAUUCGAUCUUUGAAUGUUCCGAAUACACCUGACGAACCUGCAAAAAUUCAAACUGAAAGUGAUGGGACGCGUAGAAGCCGAGGACGUACGCUACUUAAAGAUUUAUACGAGUUAAAUCCUGUCGAGCGUGUCAAAGUAUCUAAAAACAAUCUUGGUCAGCCUGUUGGAUCAAAAGCUCGUUUUUUAGCAGGAUAUUUGGGCAUUAUAGCACGAAAUGCCAAUAUGUUGCCUAUCAACUAUGAUUCAUGGCAUCAAAUGCCCAAUAGUAACAAAAAUAAAGCUCUCGGAGAUAUUAAGGAGAGGCUUGUUUUAGAGGUCUCGAAUAAUUAUGUCAAGAAGGCAUUGGGAAAAAUAUGGAGAGACCAUAAAAGUACUUUAAAGAAAUAGUAUUUUAAGACAAAAAUAACCCUCGAAGAGAAAUUGCGAAAUGUCCCGCCGGGAAUGCUGAGGUACCAAUGGGAAGAUGCGGUUAGAUUUUGGAAUUCAAAGAAAGGAGAGGAUCGUGAACGAGUUGGAACAAGCAGCAGGCAAAAAGAGAAAUUCACUCACACAGCUGGGUUGAAAAAUUUGGCUUCUGUAGCUGAGGUCGAGGAACUGUCGUCUGGUCAAAAAGUUGGACGCCUUCAGCUUUUUUACAUUACACAUAUGAAGAAAGAUGGAUCUCCUAUGACUUCUGAAGCUGCAAAAAUUAUGGAGAAACUAAAGGAUAAAAAGGCGAAGUAUGAAGCGAUUGCUUCGAGUGGUAGUUCUGUUCAUCUUGAGGAAAUUGAUAACCGAAUUAUUACUGAAGUUUUGGGUCUUAAAAGGUAUGGUUGGGUUCGAUUUCAAGGAUAUUUUGUUAACCCAACCCAAUAUUUUGGAUCCAGCUCACAGCAAUACAUGCCUUCGGGGAGUCAAGCUCAAGCUGAUGUUCAGAGGUUAAGAGACCAGGUGAUAUAGAUGCAAGCGAGCAUAGAUGAGUGAAUUGCUCAACUUAAAGCGGAAGCUAAAAGAAAAUAUGAAGAACUCCAGCUACAACUUAAAGUGAAGGAAGCAGCGAGGGAAACAAAGCAGAUCAAAAAGUACGACGCACUCCAACUGCAGCUUCAGAAUAUGAUGAAGAUGUUUCAGCAGUCACAAAAUCGGCCAUCUUACACUAUUGUAUCAAUAUUUUUAACAUUUUAACUUUUAACAUUAUUGUAAGAAUAAUUUGAAUUAUACUUCAUUUAUAAAUUUAUAUCAUAUAUCUUUCGUUGAA